rnacentral:lncRNA from 1 species
AUCCAAUGCCUGCAGUGUGCCAGAAGGUGUGCUGAAGACUCAUGCCUCCCUCACUGUUCACAUUGCUACUACUAUAUCGCCAGUACAUCGACGGCGAGGAAAGUAAUUCUCAGAGGUGAGGUGAUUUGUCCCCUGUCGUGGGGAAGUGCCUGGAAGUGUGUCGGCCCCCAGAUCCCAGCUAAGGGGGAAGGGGCAGUGCCCUUCUCAGCGCAUCAGUGACUGGCAGCUGGUUUGACCAAUAGGAGGCGCCAACGGAACAUGGUCGUAGGAUGAGGAAGAAGCCAGGGUCUCUUCCCAGGCUUUUCUUCUUGGGCCAGGCCGCUUCUGUGGCAGCUCUGUUACGCCAGGCUUUGCAGCCACUCCCACCUGUUCGCCCCAUUCCCCUCACUGGAUUCCUUCCGCUGGGAGUAUUUGAAAUUGCGCCCCUUUACCCGGUUAGAGUCCCCUCCUGCUCUGAAGACCAGCUGGGCCUCUACCUAAGGACAGAAAGUGAGGUGAUCAGACAGUCACUUCUCCACUGGGACUGGCUGAAGGAAGAAGGACGGGGAAGGGAACCGUGACCCUACAGGCCCGGGAGACUGCUCCUCGUGGUUGUUCACGGUGCUUCUGAUUGCAGAGCCGUCUAACCCAAGAGGUCGCUCUUGCCUCCCUGCCCAGACAGCUCAUACCCAGGGCUCUUGCCUCAGUGGUCUCUUUACCUGGUGAUGGUCACCUUGCCUGGGCUAUCAGCAAAGUGGCUUAACUCCUGCACUUUCAGAACUACAGGUUGAGCAACCCUUAUUCAAAAUGCUUGGGACCAGGAAUGUUUGGGAUUUUGAAAUUUGGGGAAUGUUAUUUCAAUAUGCCUCAUGAGAUAUCUUGGAAAUGGCACACAAAUCUAAACAUGAAAUUCAUUUAUGUCUCAUAUGCACCUUAUAUAGAUAGGCUGAAGGAAAUACUAAUUCUAUGCAUUAAGCAAAGUUUAUGUACAUUGAACCAUCAGAAAACAUCACUCAUGGCAUCUUAGUGCUCAAAAAGUUGAAGACUCUGGAGCAUUUGAGAGUUCAGAGUUCUGGAUUAGGGGUGCUCACCCUAUUAUCUACUUGACCCAUCUUUUCAUGCCAAGCAGAAGGAGGGCGCUGUCCCUGGGCUGCCACCAAUCCUGAUGUUUCCCCCUCUCCCUAAAGUGCAGAGGUAGAUCCCUGCAGGUGAGAGGCGGUCUCAGCCCUGUGCCCCAUGCUCUGAGAGCUUCUCUUUGAGCCCACAUCAUGUAGCUUGGGUGUGGAGUGUUGGAGCCUCCUGACCCCUUCCCCCAAGGAAGAGCCGCCCUGUCCCUCUUCCUAGAUCCCAGCGCUGACUCUUCUCAGAGCUCCAAAUUUCUGCUUAAUCAAACAGCCAGGCUGGUGGCAGCAGGUCUGCCUUGCUGCUGCUGCUCCUCCUGGGUGCUUUCUGGUUUCACUUGCAGGGCUUUAAAUGCAAUCAAGCAUAAUCCUCCAAGUUACACUUAGCAUUCUGUUACUUAAAACACAAAGCCAGGCUUCCUGACAAAUAAAAGGAUGGGGGAUAUAGCUUCGCUGGGUGGUAGAGCGCCCCUGGGUUCCAUCCUCUUUAACACACACACACACACACACACACACACACACACACACCCCACACACACAUCACACAUGCAUCACAAAAGACUGUUUUCCUCAAACUGACACAAAGCACAUUUGAAAGCAUCUAUUCAAUGGAUAAUUUUAAAUUAUACUAUUUAUCAAAACUAACCAGAAAAUACAGAAAAAUCUAAACAGAUUUUUUUUUUAAAGAAAUAGAUUUGUAAGAAUGUCAUGCCUCCCCCCAUACAUCUCAAGCCUCAGAGGCAUCCCCAGGAUUCUCUGCAUUUCUUAUUUUGUGUGUUCUGUACCUUUCUCCUUUUUUCUUGCCCAAUUUAGCAAGUAGUUUAUGUAAUUUUUGUUUUAUUUUUUACCCCCAAAAGAAGCAGUUUUGGGUUUGUUUACUGGUCCUGAUCCUGUUUUUCUGUUUUCUAAUUCACAUAUUUUUGCUUUUAACUUUCUCCUAUUUCCCUGCUCCACCUGGGCCAGCAUCUUCAGCUGAGCUACAGCCCCCCCCCAAAAAAUUAAAAUUUUUUAAUAUUUUUGAGACAGUCUCUCUAAGUCAUGAAGUUGCCCGGGAAGGCUCAAAUUUGCUACCUCCCUGACUCAGCCUCCCAAAGCACUAAGAUUACAGGUGUGCACCACGGCACCCAGCUCCUUUUAACACUUUUACUUCUAUUUUACUUCUUUCUGUUUUAUUUUUCACAGUUUCCUUUUCUAACUCUCUUACUAAAGUGCUCAUUUUUUUUCUAUCCUUUCACGUAUGUUAAUAUGCAAAGCAAGAAUUUUUCCUUACGCCACUUAAAUAUAUUCCUAAAGUCUGGCAUACCUAUAGUAUUUUCGUGAGUAUAUUUUAUAGGUACACUGCUA